AGGCUUAUUUAUGAGUGCAUUUGGUUCUUUCGAUUCUUCUAUUGGAUUUUUGUGAUAUCUAUAGGAGUCGCUUAUUGCGACCAUAUGUCUCGUUUGACAGACCCGGAGGAGCCGACGACUGAGGAGUACGACCCCGACUACACUGAGGAGCUCGAGGACGACUUGCCAGGUGCCACGUCCCACCCAACCUCGUAGAAUCCUAUUAGUCAUGCCAUGAAUGUAGAAGCUAGC
rnacentral:lncRNA from 1 species